ACUCUCAUUCCAGCACUAAAUGCUGUUUACAAACUCAUUCCAGCACUAAAUGCUGUUUACAAACUCUCAUUCCAGCACUAAAUGCUGUUUACAAACUAAUUCCACGUAAUGUGGCAACAGAGCCAAGUUUAGCACAUUUAUACCUUGAGGUAUAAAUGUUUUGAUAUCGUGGGAUGGCUGGUAAUUCAGAUUAUAAUUCUCAUUGAUUGGCUGGGAAAUGACAUAUACAAAGAUUUUCAACCCAAAUCUUGGAUAGAUGCAAUCAAACAUAGGGGCUGCAGUGGCAAAUUGUGUUGUGAGGACAAUUGCCUUUCUUGGAUCCCUCCCCUGGUCUCCCCGUGAUUUGUUCAUGUUGGAGAUUAAAAAAUUAUGAAAUCCAGAUUGAGUCGCCAGAUGUAUAUGGAUAAUCAGUGACAGAAAUCUCAUAAAGUGCAUUGAUAUACCUGUAUUAUACGAUAUUGAAUAAAAUGGCAUAUUGUUAACCAUAAACCAUUCUCAGGAAAAAACUACCAGUCCUCAACGCUGUUCUCCUUGGUCAGUGUGGACGACUGGCAAACUUAGCAGCCAUUAUCUGGUACCCAGGGUCUAGCACAACAUUCCAAGUGUUGAUGCUCGUUUUUGUGUUUGUAUCAUCUGUGCAAAGCACUAGAGCUGCAUUACAUUUAGGGAAAAUAGAAAGUUUGCUCCUACUGACUGUGGCAUUUUCAAGCAGUAUGUAUUCAUGUCACAAAUUACAGCCGGUUUUGCUUGACAGCUACCAUUCUUAUCUCAAUAGCCAUGUGUACACUAAACAUCCUUUUGUAUUAUGAAACCUGGUUAAUAAACAUCGUUUUAAAAAUCUUGAAUUGAGAAAAAAGUUGACGUAGUUAUUUUCCUGUACCUUGUUAAUGUGUAAUUAAGUAAUAACGAACAGUUAUGGUAAGUGAUGAAUUUCAAAGUAUUGUCAGUAUUGUAACCCGAAGAUAUUUUUUUAUACUUCUCUCAAAAUAAAUAGUAAAAAUG